AUCUUCUAAUAGCUUAGAAAGGGAAGAUAAAGCUCUGAUACAUUAGGUAACCAUUAAACUUGAAAACAAUCAAAAGUCUUCAAUCCUGGUAAAAAAAGCCACCAGUUGUGCUUUGAUUAAAUAUUGGAAUGACAUCCAGGAGUGUCCUUGGAGAUUUGCCAACCCUUCUCUGGUUUCUUUUGGUAAACAAUCCAGUUGUAUGCCAGCAAGUGAUUUUGACCUGUACCUGUCAAGGACAAAGGUGCAGCACCAGGAAACUCCAUAAAAUACCUUCCUGACCAACACUUUGCAUAUUGUACUCUUGUCAGCAAUCAGUAUAGAAACCAGGAUCAGAGAAAAGAAACUCUUCUAAAACACAGCUAUACUUCUGGACUUCUGCAUGUGCUGUUGAUGAAGAAUUACAUUUUACAGCCUGGACAGUAUAAUAGCUUUUUACUGAUAGAAGUGUUCACCACCAUUCAUUGCUGUGUAAACAAAGGUGACACAAAGGUGAGACGCAGUCCAAACAGAAGUGCUGAGUAAAUCACAGAAUCACAGAAUCAAGUGCUGGAAGGGACCUCAAGAGACCAUCAAGUCCAUCCCUCAGCUAAAGCAGGUCCCCUACAAUAUGUCGCACAGGUAGGUGUCCAGAAGGG
rnacentral:lncRNA from 1 species